rnacentral:lncRNA from 1 species
ACACGGGGGCCUCGCACGUGGCAUGGGGGCCUUGCACAAGGGCCUUGCACGGGGACCUCGCGCGUGGCAUGAGGACCUUGCACGGGGACCUCGCACGUGGCACGGGGGCCUUGCACAGGGGCAUCACACAGGGGCCUUGCAUGUUGCAUGGGGACCUUGCACAUGGCACGAGGACCUUGCACGGGGACCUCGUAUGUGGCAUGGUGACCUUGCACGUGGCACGAGGACCUUGCACAUGGCAUGGGGGCCUCGCACAGGGGCCUUGCAUGUUGCACGAGGACCUCGCAUGUGGCACGGGGGCCUCGCACGUGGCACAGUGACCUUGCACGUGGCACAGGGGCCUUGCACGGGGGCCUCGCACAUGGCACGCCUCACAUGUGGCACGCUGACCUUGCACAGGGGCCUUGCACACGGCACGGGGACCUUGCACGGGGACCUCGCAUGUGGCAUGGUGACCUUGCACAUGGCACGGGGGCCUCGCACGGGGGCCUUGCAUGUUGCACAAGGACCUUGCACGUGGCACGGGGGCCUCGCAUGUGGCACGGUGACCUUGCACGAGGACCUCGCACGUGGCAUGGGGAUCUCACAUGGGGGCCUUGCAUGGGGACCUCACACAUGGCACAAGGGCCUCGCACGUGGCACAGGGGCCUUGCAUGUUGCACGGGGGCCUCGCGCGUGGCACGAGGGUGUCGUACAAGGGCCUCGCGCGUGGCACCGGGGCCUUGCACGGGGGCCUGGCACGGGGACCUGGCACCCUCGGGCUCUCACCUCCCGCAGCUGCACCAGCUGCGCCAGCAGUGCGGCAGUGCCGGCGCCGGCGGGCGCCAUCGGCUCCGUCUGCGUCCCGGCGUCCCGGCGGUCUCCCCAGGGGCCGCCCUCGGCGAAGACCAGCUCCUCCUCCUCCUCCUCCUCCUCUUCCUCCUGCGCACGCGCGUGUGCAACCCCCCCGCCCCUCCUUUGGCACCGUUGCACGCCGGCGCUCGGCUCGGGCUCCCGCUGUUGCACGCUCGCCGUGCACAG